rnacentral:rRNA from 1 species
GACGAGGAGCUUGCUCCUCUGACGUUAGCGGCGGACGGGUGNUUAACACGUGGAUAACCUACCUAUAAGACUGGGAUAACUUCGGGAAACCGGAGCUAAUACCGGAUAAUAUAUUGAACCGCAUGGUUCAAUAGUGAAAGACGGUUUUGCUGUCACUUAUAGAUGGAUCCGCGCCGCAUUAGCUAGUUGGUAAGGUAACGGCUUACCAAGGCAACGAUGCGUAGCCGACCUGAGAGGGUGAUCGGCCACACUGGAACUGAGACACGGUCCAGACUCCUACGGGAGGCAGCAGUAGGGAAUCUUCCGCAAUGGGCGAAAGCCUGACGGAGCAACGCCGCGUGAGUGAUGAAGGUCUUCGGAUCGUAAAACUCUGUUAUUAGGGAAGAACAAAUGUGUAAGUAACUAUGCACGUCUUGACGGUACCUAAUCAGAAAGCCACGGCUAACUACGUGCCAGCAGCCGCGGUAAUACGUAGGUGGCAAGCGUUAUCCGGAAUUAUUGGGCGUAAAGCGCGCGUAGGCGGUUUUUUAAGUCUGAUGUGAAAGCCCACGGCUCAACCGUGGAGGGUCAUUGGAAACUGGAAAACUUGAGUGCAGAAGAGGAA